CUUAAGGACAGGCUCUCCUGCAAGUGCCGCUGCCAUUCUCUGCUCACAAGAGCUCGCGCAUCGCCUCUCUGAGCAUGGAUGGCACCACCAAACACCUGCAACUUGCAGAACAGACAGCCCCAAAUGUGAAGGCUUUCUAGGCCCACGCUGCUGGAAGAAGUAAUGGAGGAGAUCUCAUCUAAAAAGCAGGAAGAAAAAAGCUACAGGAAUCCCUCACUUUAAAUGAGAUUAGGGAGGGGAAGAGAGAGAGCCCCAGAGAAGGAUGUGAUCUAUCUAAAGUCAUGUGGUCAGAAGAAAGGCAAAGUCAGGAAAUGAACAUGCCUUUGAGUCUGAAUGUAGCACAGAAACUCCCAUCAAUGGUUUCAUGCUUAUGUUGUGCCUUGAAACAGUUCCUGAGCAGCCCACCUGGAUUGCUGCAGAGAAAAAGCAAGGACCUUGGGACCCAGUGUGUGUUCUACAUGAAGUAGGCAUCCAGGAAGAAAACAAAGACCCUGACAGAUACACAGGAAAGGGAAAAGCUGUGUGAGGUCAGAGGCAGAGACUGGAGUGUAUGCCCAGGAUGGCCGGAAACCCCCUGUGGCUCAGAAAAGGCAGAGAGGAUCCUCGAGCAGAGCCUCCAAAGAGAGCACAUCCCCAGUGACACCUUGAUUUUGACUCCUGGCUUCCAGAAUUGUGAGCAAAUAAAACUGUUGUUAU